UUUCCGUAGGUGAACCUGCGGAAGGAUCAUUAAAGAGUAAGGGUCUUCGGGCCCGAUCUCCAACCCUUUGUUUAACUACCAUGUUGCUUUGGCGGGCCCGUCUCACGACCGCCGGAAGUUUGGCUUCGACCAAACUUCUGGCCCGUGCCCGUCAGUGGCCCCUUCAAAUUCUUGAUCAAGUAUGAUGUCUUAGUUAAAAACUUAAUAGUUAAAAUUUUCAACAACGGAUCUCUUGGUUCUG
rnacentral:misc_RNA from 1 species